ACCAAGAGUUUUAUUGUAAGAAAUACAAAAGAUAUGACAAAUAUACAAACUAUUGUCUCUUUUUGCCUCAAUUCAGCUUGUGCAUAAGUGAAAACAAUGAACUGGACAAUGACAUUUCAACACCAAUUCUUAAAAAACAAUGAAUUCCAUUACCUGACAAUAAAUACCUAAAUUUGCAUUCUAGCACCCAGUAAGACAUCCAGUUUCCAAAGGAUUCUUGAUCUGUAACCCUCUGAAUUUUCCGACACAUUCCAUCGCUUCAGUCACCACUGGUAGUUCCUCUCCAAACAAGUCUUAAGAGUAAGAGCUAAGAGACCUACCUUUGCCCUCAGCAACCCGGGUCAUCAUGCACCACUUACUUGAGCUCAUUUGGAACAGAUUGCUAGCAACGGGGGUAUUUAAUGUAAGUUUUGGUGGUCCUUGGAUUCCAUAUCUCACAUGACACAAAUACCUACUUUUCUAUUUUCCUCUUCCGGAAGGAAGAGUCUAGUUAAACUGCCCUAUAUUUUCAUCUAGCUAAAAGGAAGGAAGCAAAAUCACUCAGCUCAGGGCACUAGGAGGAGGGUAAUUUUACAGAUUGGC
rnacentral:lncRNA from 1 species